rnacentral:rRNA from 1 species
AGCUCCCCGAGUGGUAGGGACAAUUAUUGGGCUUAAAGCGUCCGUAGCCGGCUUAGCAAGUCCUCCGUUAAAUCCAGCGGCUUAACCGCUGGGCCGCGGAGGAUACUGUUAUAGCUUGGGGACGGGAGAGGCUAAUGGUAUUCUCGGGGUAGGGGUGAAAUCCUAUAAUCCCGGGAGGACCACCAGUGGCGAAGGCGAUUAGCUAGAACGCGCUCGACGGUGAUGGACGAAAGCUGGGGGAGCGAACCGGAUUAGAUACCCGAGUAGUCC